UACGUAGGGCGCAAGCGUUGUCCGGAAUUAUUGGGCGUAAAGAGCUCGUAGGCGGCUUGUCACGUCGGAUGUGAAAGCCCGGGGCUUAACCCCGGGUCUGCAUUCGAUACGGGCUAGCUAGAGUGUGGUAGGGGAGAUCGGAAUUCCUGGUGUAGCGGUGAAAUGCGCAGAUAUCAGGAGGAACACCGGUGGCGAAGGCGGUUCUCUGGGCAUGUCCUGACGCUGAGGAGCGAAAGUGUGGGGAGCGAACAGG
rnacentral:rRNA from 1 species